GGAAAAAAGACAAGAACUAGUGGCAAACUCCAGAGUGUGAGUCAAAAUCAGUAAGUGUAGUAUAAAUUCACUAUGUUUUUAUUGGUUUUCUUGACCAUGUUAACCUAGCACAGUCAUCUAUAAUAGUAAUUAACAUUUCUUGAGUGCUCACCCAUGCACCAAUCUGUAUCCCAAAUGCUUUUCACGUAUCUUCACAAAGAGUCUAAAGCUGCUAUCUGUUUCUCCAUUUUACAGAUUAAACAACUGAGGCACAAAAAUGCAUCUUGCCUAGGAACAUACAGCUAGCCCAGCAUAGCACCAACCAUCUCAGAUGUGAUUCCCAAGAAGCAGAACCUGAUUGAAAAUUUCCUGUUCAAGAUUCAUUGAGUGAAUAUUAUCAGGAGGAGAGGAAAGAAGACAGCAUGAGGAAGGGGAGACAAAACUAAGAGGAACAUGGUUUCAGCCUGAUCCCACAGGAAAGCUUGAGAGCA
ensembl:lncRNA